rnacentral:rRNA from 1 species
CCUACGGGUGGCAGCAGUGAGGAAUAUUGGUCAAUGGGCGAGAGCCUGAACCAGCCAAGUCGCGUGAGGGAGUACUGCCCUAUGGGUUGUAAACCUCUUUUGUCGGGGAGCAAAAGCCGGACGUGUCCGGCUGUGAGAGUACCCGAAGAAAAAGCAUCGGCUAACUCCGUGCCAGCAGCCGCGGUAAUACGGAGGAUGCGAGCGUGAUCCGGAUUUAUUGGGUUUAAAGGGUGCGCAGGCGGAUUUUUAAGUCAGCGGUAAAAUCGUGGGGCUCAACCCCAUCCAGCCGUUGAAACUGGGGAUCUAGAGUGUGCGAGAGGUAUGCGGAAUGCGUGGUGUAGCGGUGAAAUGCAUAGAUAUCACGCAGAACCCCGAUUGCGAAGGCAGCAUACCGGUGCACAACUGACGCUCAGGCACGAAAGCGUGGGUAUCGAACAGGAUUAGAUACCCCGGUAGUC